UUUAGAGCCACCAAUUAACCUGAUCCCCAGAGCAUGUCUUUAGACUGUGGGAGGAAGCCAGAGGACCCGGAGAGAACCCACGCCGACAGGGGGAGAAUAUGCAGACUGCACAGAGAAAGGCCACAGGGAGAAGUCGAACUCAGGACAUUCUUGCUGUGAGGCGACAGUGCUAACCAUGACCCCACUGUGCAGCCCGUAUGGCAUUCCAAUAUAUUUAAAGGCUUUGCUUCGAAUUCAGCAUUCUGCAAAUGUGCUUCUUCCCCUUUCUGAGAGACAUCAAUUUCAGAUUGCAAAUUUACAUUUACACGCACGUGGCUUCAGCAGACGUCUCUAUUGGACAUAAUAAAUGUUUACACUCUUUACAUUGAUGUUUUUACCAAGGAUAUCUCAAAUAAUCUAAAUGGUGAUACUGCAAGACAAGUUCAUCUUUGUUGGGAUGAGGUCAGCCUGUGAGAUUAUAACUCAAUGAUUUGAAUAAUAAAUAAUCUUUUUCAAUGUGUAGCCAGUGAGAAAAUGUCCUUCCUGAGCUACUGUAGGUUCAGGCAGGCCUUGGUACCUCCUACUUCCUGGUUCACCCAUUAGAAAGGGUAUAAAGCUGCCCAUAAUGAAGCUGCUUUUGGCAUGCUUGUCCCUUUCUGUGUUGGAGAGUGGCUGGAGAAGCCAGUGAGCUGGUAGGUGUUUUCAUUCUCAGUUCUUAUUAAAAUGGUUUGGCCAUUGGUGAUCUUUCUGUUUGUGUCUCCCAGCUCGUCAGGGAGGCCCAAACCAUGUGUGAGCCAUACCAGGUGGAGGAGCCUCAAAGUAACUCCAGGCUGGCAUUAGAAGCCAUUGCUGUUUUGUGUUGCUUGUUCAGUUCUGGUCUGGAGUUUCUUCAUGUUUGUAAUAUUAGUUAGUUUGCAGAUUACUUUUGGUAAGUAAUGUGUUUAUUUUUGUGUUUUGAGGUUGUCUGCAGAGUAGCAUCCCAGAUGGUGGGUCUGGUGGCUGGGCCUUUAAUCUGCUCAUCCCAUUGUCCGUUUGUCUGUAUUCUUUUUACAUAGCAUGCCUCUAUUUUAUAUUGUUUGUGUGGAGAAACUGAGUCGGUGAGUGCCCUGUGCCAGAGCCUGUCCCUGUUCCUGCCCCGGUGCAGCCUAGUCACCAGUAGCACUCAAUUUGUUUGUAGAGGUGCAUUUGGUUAUUUCUACAGCUGAUGGAAAUUGGUGUAAUCGUUUUGUAUGCUUACUAUAUUUUAACUAAAUGUUGAAAUCUGGGAAUACUUUUUCCUCAGUCUGACUUCAGUCACCUGUUGAUCCGUGGUUGUUGGAUAAUUUAUGAGGAAAUAUUUAACCCUGUGCUACCGGUGGUUACAAAUGUAUUUCUUCCAGUUGCUCAACUUCUCAUGACUUGAUCUACACACUAUGCAUCAGCUAAAACUAAUGCAUUCUAAUACAACAGCCCUAAAACUAUUUCUCCCGCAUUCUCUUGUAUCUGUCGACAGCCCAAAUAGAAAUCUGCUAAUGGUACCCCUAGAGGGGAUUUACUUGCACGUUGAACUUUACUAAUUGCUUGUGAUCUCUUCUCAGACUGCUAUGGCUGGUUCUACACCUGCAGAAUCAAGAUGACCAAUGGAAAAACUAAAACUUCCAAUGUUCGGAAGUUAGGGUUGGUUCAAAAUGCGUUUGGCAAGAAACCUGGUGGAGACCGUGGUGCCAUGAAAGCAAACAAAAGGACGGUCCAGAGAGUUGGUCGAGCAGUUUCAGCCUCCUCUGACGGUGGAAAUUACCAGCACUCUUUAGUGAUUUGAGAGAACGGAUGAUCCAGAGAAGACAACAGGGUCCUGCCUUCGGCUCCCUAGGAGCGGCCAAGCAACUUCAGCCUCCUGUGAAAAUUGAGAGGUAAGACCCUUUCUCAGUACUGCUUUUCAUGUCCUGCUGUGAAAGUCUAAUAAAAUGUUAGAAUGCCAGACGGUUGGUUGGUUAACUGCAUCUGCUGCUAAUAUAUACUGAACUAAUUCAGUUUUUAUCUGCGCUUUCCCAGUGUGUAAAAAGAUGCAUUCUUGUCAGUGUUUAAAUAUUUCUUGUUUGCUGAAGUACUGUUGUGCUACCACACAGGACGAUUCAGAGAACACUACAGGCUCCUGCUUCAGAGGCAUGCAGCUUUAGCCUCCUGUGGAAAUUGCCUUAUGCUCCUGCAAAAUUAGCGAUUUGACUAACUGGAUGAUAGAAUCCAACUCUCUACAGGCUUUGGCAAAAGGUAAGACCCUAAGUGUGGGCUAGGGUUAGCGGGGGCUAAGUGUGGGC